UUGUCUUGUCUAAUCUCAGAAGCUAAGCAAGGUCGGCCUGGUUAGCAGUUGGAUAGGAGACUGCCUGGGAAUACUGGGUGCUGCAGGCU
rnacentral:rRNA from 1 species